GUCCACGCCUUAAACUAUGAAUACUAAGUGUCGGCGGGUUACCGCCGGUGCCGCAGCUAACGCAUUAAGUAUUCCGCCUGGGAAGUACGGCCGCAAGGUUGAAACUCAAAGGAAUUGACGGGGCCGCACAAGCGGUGGAGCAUGUGGUUUAAUUCGACGCAACGCGAAGAACCUUACCCAGGCUGGACAUGCAGGUAGUAGAAGGGUGAAAGCCCAACGAGGUAGCAAUACCAUCCUGCUCAGGUGCUGCAUGGCUGUCGU
rnacentral:rRNA from 1 species